GUCCUCGAUGGUCUAACGGUCAUGAUUUCCGCUUGUCAUUACAAUAGUAAUUCAAGCGCGGGAGACCUGGGUUCGACUCCCAGUCGGGGAGAUC
rnacentral:tRNA from 1 species